rnacentral:rRNA from 1 species
AGCGAACGCUGGCGGCAGGCUUAACACAUGCAAGUCGAGCGGGCACUUUCGGGUGUCAGCGGCGGACGGGUGAGUAACGCGUGGGAACGUGCCCUCUGGUUCGGAAUAACUCAGGGAAACUUGAGCUAAUACCGGAUACGCCCUUUUGGGGAAAGGCUUGCUGCCGGAGGAUCGGCCCGCGUCUGAUUAGCUAGUUGGUGAGGUAACGGCUCACCAAGGCGACGAUCAGUAGCUGGUCUGAGAGGAUGAUCAGCCACACUGGGACUGAGACACGGCCCAGACUCCUACGGGAGGCAGCAGUGGGGAAUAUUGGACAAUGGGCGCAAGCCUGGUCCAGCCAUGCCGCGUGAGUGAUGAAGGCCUUAGGGUUGUAAAGCUCUUUUAUCCGGGACGAUAAUGACGGUACCGGAGGAAUAAGCCCCGGCUAACUUCGUG